rnacentral:lncRNA from 1 species
UUAUAUAAUUCUUUAAGUCCCAUAUGAUCAAUGUCUUGCUAUGUAGAUGAUAUCUAGACACUGACACACUCAGAGAGAGAGAGAGAGAGAGAGAGAGAGAGAGAGAGAGAGAGAAAGAGAGAGAGAGAGAGGAAACAGUCCAUCUAUAAGCCAUAGAAUCAAGACCUACCAGCAACUACCAGAAAGAACCCAAGGAAAGCAUUCCACCAGCUUCUCCCUCAGGCCUCCAGAAGGAAGUAACUUGGCCAACACCUUGAUUUCAGGCUUCUGGCUUCCAGAACUAAGAGGAUCCAUCUCUGUGGCUUUCAACGGCACCGUCUGUGGUGAUCAGAGUGUGAAGUAGAAUAGCCGUGGAUGAAGAGAGAAGGUCAACGUGGCACUGAACACCAUUACCAUCUAUUCUGCCUGGCUUAAGGGAUGACCCAACAACGAUCUGGUCCAUGAGCCUCUGAGCUUCAUUGCCUGGGAAAGAUGGGCAGUCCCCCUUCAUCAGUCACUUAAAACUGUUACGGUGCAAGGGAAAUUAAAAAGAUGACUGAAGAGGUGGCCUGCUUGCUUAGAGAAGUCUCUCAAAUGUAGACAUCCAAGACGUACCUCCAG